rnacentral:rRNA from 1 species
GACAGAGGCCUCGAGCGUUAGGCGGAAUCACUGGGCUUAAAGCGUGUGUAGGCGGGCCCGUAAGUGUCUUGUGAAAUCCCACGGUUCAACCGUGGAACUGCUGGGCAUACUGCGGGUCUUGGGCCAACUAGGGGCAGCCGGAACAAGCGGUGGAGCGGUGAAAUGCGUAGAUAUCGCUUGGAACGCCGAAGGUGAAAACAGGCUGCUGGGGUUGCGCCGACGCUGAGACACGAAAGCCAGUGGAGCAAACGGG